GUGGCUGCCAUGGCGCGCGCGUCCCGGACGUAGGCACGUGUAGGGCCCUGCUUCUCGCCGGCGGCGACGCCGGCCUCGCCGUCUGGGAUAUCCAGCAGGUGCUGCAGUGCCGUCAUCAUCGGGUUCUCCAAGCCGAACACCAUGCCCGCCAUUCUCGCUCGCUGAUCUCGAGCUCGGUCGAUCUCCUCGGGUUGGACUUGCGUUGGAUUGCUUGUUGAAUUUUGUGGAAUGCUUUGGUGGGGAUGCGAUGGCGAGGCGGAGGGAGUUUAUGUAGGUCGCCGUUGGCGGGGAGUCUGGAAGGUAAUGGAAACUUCUGAAAUGUGGUGGAACGAGCGCGGAGCAGUCUUCGGCCGCUGAGGAGAAAGUUCUAGACGUUCGACCUUCGGAAUUGUUGUGCGGUAGCCUCGGGCCCCACAUGUCAUUCGGGGCAGCAGAGAGAUAUCUUUUUCCAGGACUAGGAUACGCAUAGGGAGAUUUUCGUUGUGAAAAAAAAACGGCAUACCGAGAUUUUUCCUAGGAGCAAAGGGACUUUUAUUCAAAACUAUUACUACAUUAUUGUAGUGUCAAAAACGUCCUUUAACUUGUACAAUUAUUCUCUUUUCUAUAAAGCUAAGGUACGUCAUUGGCAUUACCCUUGAAAAAACGUCUUUUAAUGUAAAAAAUGCUCCAACACUACGCUAUUGUAAAAAACACUGUUAUAUUAGGGACAGAGGGAGUAGUAAAUGUUGCAUGUGCGCCAGGCACGUGUUUAGAAUAAUAAUCAUAUGGAAAUACUAAGUACCGAACGUCAGUUUUCUGAAUUGUCGUCCAAAUGCUUUCGUAGCCGUCGCCUGAAUCUUGCCGUGCUCCUCAUGCCACGUCGUCACGAGCGAAUGGUUCGCGUCAGGCUGCGGUCGCCUGAGCGCCUUAUCCACUCGCAGCUCCACCGCUUUCCCUACCACCCAUUCCCCACCCCACCCUCCACAGUCUACUAUCUCUCGUCGUCGAAUUUGAAGCCGAGACGACCGGCGUUGGGCAGGCGGGACGGAGGCGAAGCCCGUCUGGCAGUCGGAGUUAUGUCGGGCGGCACACGAGUGCAGUGUGUUGGUCGGGCGAGCGUGACCUCGAGGAGCAACACGUUGCGACCUCCACGCUGUAGGGCGGGAAUCGACACCUCUCCGACCGCCUCCACGCCGCCGGGCUGGUAGAGGAGGACGGGGACCAGCUGGCCGCCGUCAACGACGGGAAUAUGCAUGGUGCCGGGCCUGUUGCCAUGGUGACCCUCCUCGCCGUCCUGCACUCGACGCCCAUCAUGGAGAUGUCGCCAUGACCCUUCUCCCUUGUGAUUGAGGCACAAAGCAGAGGAAGAUGGGGAAGAAUACGACGUGGUGCCCAUGGCCUUCAUCGAACCCGACGACGAAUCGUCACUGAGCGUAUUCACUCAUCCAUUUUUCUCUCUUUCAUGCUACUACUGAUGGACGCAUAGUGGCCAUUGACGAGAUUUUUUGGUCAUGUUAUGUGUCAUUUUAGUUCGAUAAAACUCAUAGGUAGGAGUAGAUGGCAUUUUUACGGUGUUUUUCUUUUCUUUUGGUAAGCUCCACAUUGUGUGUGUAUUUAGUUCCCUAACACCUUAGUGAUGGCAGUUUUCAUUUUCAGUAACCAUGUCAUCAUUUUCGUCAAAUGAGGUGAUCAGCAUGUAUGUGUCAAGCUAUUUUUUGCUUUUGUUUUGCUUCACAUACAUGUAUUUAUAGUUCAUAGUUCUGCUCUAAUUUUCAUAAUCAUGGCAAUUAAGUAUGUGCAUAGGUGGCUAUUUUUUUAAAAUUAUCAUGGCAUCUUUGUGUGUACAAGAAUUGGGGUUCAGACUAUAUCCAUGUUGUCGGCAAUAGUUAUAUUAAUGUUUUGACAUGUAAACUUAGUUUUGUUUGCCAUGAUAACUAUAGUUAUUUUGUGAUGGCCCACAAGUAUAGGGGAUCACGAUAGUCCUCGAGGGUAGUAUUUUACCUAAUUUAUUGAUUCGAUACAAUAAGAGCCAAAGAAUAUUUAUAAGCCUUAACAGUUGAGUUGUCCAUUUAACCAAGCAUGAGAAGCCACUUCUGUGCAGCAAUUUAUUAGUAGCAUAGUAACAUGAUAACAAUGAUAGCAGUAGUAAUGGUAAAAAUAGCAGUAAUAGCAGUUUUGUGGCAAUUAGAUCAGCAUCGGUUGGAUCAGCAGCAGUAAUAGUAACUUGAGCAAAGACAAUAUUGUAAAAGCGUAGGUAUGGAUUAGCGAUAGAUAUUCAGACGUAAUUCAUAAUGUAACGUUCACAACCUAGAGCGACACACAAUGACUCUAAUUCAUCAAUUGUAUGUAGGCAUGUAUUCCAUAUUUAGUCAUACGCGUUUGUGAUAAGAACUUGCAAGACAUCCCCUCUCGUGGAAACGGAGUCCUAAUGGAAACUAAGGAUAAUUACGGUGCUCCUUUCAAUAGAGAACUGGAACAAAGUAUUAGAACAUAGUGAAUACACAAACUCUUCAAAUUACAGUCAUCUCCGGACAGUAUCCCAAUUAUUCUCACUUUGGAGAUCUAUGGAUCGAAACAAUAAUAGGUUCAUAUAACUUGCAGAUAGGAUCAUGAACUCAAAUAUAUUCAUGCAAACAUAAUAGAUUAAGAUCUAAAAAUCAUGGCACUUGGAUCCUAUUGAAAAGCAUUAAACAUAACAAAGUCAUAGCAACAUCAAUCUCAGAACAUAGUGUAUACUAGGGAUCAACCCUAACAAAUUGACUCGAUUACAUAAAGAUUCUCAUCCAUCUCUAUCCACCUCCAGUAUGCCUACAAUGGAAUUACUAACUCCCGGUAGUGAGCAUCAUGAGGUUGUCAAUUGGAGAAGGGUUGGUGAUGACAACGGUGAUGAAUCCCUCUUGGCGGAGACUCGAACGGACUCUAGAUCAGGCUCCUGGUGAAGAAGAGGAGGUGGCGGCGGCUCCAUAUCAUAAAAUACGAUAAAACUUUAUCUCUGAUUUUUUUUCUCAGGAAGACGAUAUAUGUAGCUUGGAAUUAGGUCAGACGCCCACCCGUGGGACCCAUAAGGUAACAUGGCGCUCCCUUGCCUUGUGGGAUGCUGGUGGCCCAUCUCUGGUAUAUCUUUACACCAGUAUUUUUUAUAUAUUUUAAAAAAAUCUUCAUGAAGUUUUGUCCAAUUCCAAGAACUUUUAUUUGGGCACAAAAAUAAUACCGUGCUAGUUCUGCUGAAAAGAACGUUAGUCUGGGUUAGUUUUAUUAAAAUCAUGCAAAUUAGAGUCCAGACCAAAUGGCAAAGUGUUUGGAAAAAUGGACACAUGGAAGACCUAUCAUUUUGCCAUGGCAAAUUUAACAUGUGUUUUUUGAUACGAUAACUUAUGGUGUUUUAUCGUGGAAACUAGAAUAUACUCCCACCAUGGCAAUUUGAGAUGUGUUUUUUCUUCAUGGCAAAUUAAGCAUCAUUUUCACUACUAGUUUUGGAGUUUUUCACAUGCCAAUUAACACUUGUCAUGGCAACUUUAAGAUGUGUUGGCAUGGCAAUAUUUUUAGAUGUUUCUUACAGUGUGUUUUGACAUGGAAAAUACAAUACACGUUUUUGCCAUGGCAAAUUAAGAUGUGUUGCCACAACAAGUUUGUAGUUUAUAGCAACUUAAGAUGUGUGUUUAUCAUGCCAAAUUAAGAUCAGUUUCUGUGACUAGUUUUGAGUUUUUUUUACACGACAUUUCAACACUUUUGCUAUGGCCACUUCAACAUGUGUUGCCAUGGCAGUUUAGAGUGUUUUACGGGAUGUUUUGACAUGGAAACUAAAAUAUAUUUUUUGCCAUGGAAAUUUAAGAUGUUUUUGCGAUGUUAAAAGACGUUUUUUGUAACACUCUGGAUGUCUUGGCAAUUGAAGAUGUGUUGCCACGAAAAGUAUGAAGUAUAUGACAAUUUAAGAUGUGUUUUUGACACGACAAAAUAAGAUGAGUUUUUGCAACAAGUUUUGAGGUUUUUUCAUACGAUAUUUCAACACUUUUGCCAUGGCAACUUAACAUGUGUUGCUAUGACAAGUUUGGAGUUUUUUAUGGUGUGAUUUGACAUGGAAACUAAGAUAUAUUUUUUGGCAUGGAAAUUUAAAAUGUGUUUUUGCCAUGUCAAAAGACAUUUUUUGGUAACACUCUGAACGUCAUGGCAAUUUUUUGACAUCAUGGUAAUUUUGCAUUUUUUUCCAGAUCAUUCACAUGGAAAUUUUUAGAAACAUUUGUGUCUUAUAAACCAUAACAAGUAUAGUUAUUUUAACUUUAAUUAUCUUCAUUCCCAUGGAAAAUUUUAAUUUUCUUUGUCAUGGCAAAUUUUACAUUUCUAAUUUGCCAUGGAAAAUUUACCUUUAUUCACUAGUGUCGGAUGGUCCUAACGCGACAGUACAAUCAGAGACACUUCGACGAAACCGUGUGCGGUGCAUUAAUUGCAAACGGUGGUGUAAGAAAAUCGUAAAAAAUGAUACAGAGUGUUUGUGAUGGCGGAGACAUCUAACACGAUUCGUAUUAGAGUUGCGUGUGCGAUUCAUACUGGUGUAUUGUUAGGGUGAAUAUCUGGACUCGGGCAUGCACACCAGGCAUCUCAGGCGACCUGGACCUGGAUAGUCUUGGGCUUCUUGGGCCCAGACGGCGGCAGCUUCUCGACGGUCAUGGUAAGCAUGCCGCCGCGGCACGUGACAGAGAUCUUCUCCAUGUCGGUGUUCUCUGGCAGCACGAACUUGCGCAUCAUCUUGCCCAUGCAGCGCUCCACCCGCAUGCAUUUAGCGUCCUCUUUCUCCUCCCUGCGCCGCUCACCGUUAAUCACCAGCACUCGCUCGUCCUCCACCUGCACCUUGAUGUCGCCGGAUCCGAGCCCUAGCAUGCCGACCAGAAACACAUACGCGCCUGAUAGCUCCUUCACGUCGGUCGGGGUGGCCGCCAUGGCACGUGCGUCGGGCCCGGCUUCUUGCUGCCGGCUGCACCGGCUCCACCAGCCUCGUCGUCUGCGAUGUCCAGUAGGUGCUGCAGCGCCGUCAUCAUCGGGUUCUCCAAGCCAAACACCAUUCUCGCCAUUCUCGCUCGCUGAUCUUGAGCUCCAUAGAUCUCCUCGGGUUGGACUUGCGUUGGAUAGCUUGUUGAAUUUUAUGGAAUGCUUUGAUGGGGAUGCAAUGGCGAGGAGGAGGAGGGAGUUUAUGUAGGUCGCCGGACACGGAGAGU
rnacentral:lncRNA from 1 species